CCUACGGGGGGCAGCAGUGGGGAAUAUUGGACAAUGGGCGCAAGCCUGAUCCAGCAAUGCCGCGUGUGUGAAGAAGGCCUUAGGGUUGUAAAGCACUUUCAGCAAUGAAGAAGUUGUAUUGGCUAAUAUCCAAUAUAAUUGACGUUAGUUGCAGAAGAAGUACUGGCUAACUCUGUGCCAGCAGCCGCGGUAAUACAGAGAGUGCAAGCGUUAAUCGGAAUGUGUGUAGGUAAAGGGUGUGUUGGUAUGUGAAAUCCCUGGGCUUAACCUAGGAAUUGCAUUUAAUACUUUUUAUCUAGAGUAUUGUAGGGGGAAGUGGAAUUUCCGGUGUAGCGGUGAAAUGCGUAGAUAUCGGAAGGAACACCAGUGGCGAAGGCGACUUCCUGGACAAAUACUGACACUGAGACACGAAAGCGUGGGGAGCAAACAGGAUUAGAUACCCCUGUAGUC
rnacentral:rRNA from 1 species